rnacentral:rRNA from 1 species
AUACGUAGGUGGCGAGCGUUAUCCGGAAUUACUGGGGGUAAAGGGUGUGUAGGCGGGAAGGCAAGUCGGAUGGGAAAAUUAUGGGCUCAACCCAUAAAGUGCGACCGAAAAUGUUUUUCUUGAGGCUCGGAGAGGUAAUGAGAAUUCCCGGGGUAGCGGUGAAAUGCGCAGAGAUCGGGAGGAAUACCGGUGGCGAAGGCGAAUUACUGGACGAUAACUGACGCUGAGACACGAAAGCGUGGGGAGCAAACAGGAUUAGAUACCCUGGUAGUCCACGCCCUAAACGAUGAAUGCUAGGUGUAGGGGAGUCAUCUUCUGUGCCGCAGCUAACGCAAUAAGCAUUCCACCUGGGGAGUACGGCCGCAAGGUGGAAACUCAAAGGAAUUGACGGGG